UGGAUCACCUCCUAACAGGGAGACAACAAAAUGUUAAAUAUUAAUUUUGUCACCUUAGGUCGAUCGGUAUCUCACAUUCUUAAUUAAUUAAGAAUUUCUUUUUCUAAGUUUUUUCUAGGUCACACCCAUUAUUUUUCCUGGGCCAUUAGCUCAGGUGGUUAGAGCGCACCCCUGAUAAGGGUGAGGUCCCUGGUUCAAGUCCAGGAUGGCCCAUAUCUCUAUGUUGGGGGUAUAGCUCAGUUGGUAGAGCGCCUGCUUUGCAAGCAGGAUGUCAGCGGUUCGAGUCCGCUUACCUCCACUGAUUACCACCUCUUCCAUAACUGGUAGAAAGGAAUUUUUUGUGUUGUGAUCAAAUUCUGAAAGAAUCUAGCUUCCUAAUGAAAUCAUUAAGAUGCUGGACUCAUUGAAUUAAUUUCAUUGUUUUCAGAGAACCUUGACAACUGCAUAGAUUAUUUUUAAAGACAAUAAGCAUCUUUAAUGAUGCAGAUUUAUUAUUUAUGCGAAUGCAUUAAUAACAAUUCUAUUAAGCUGAUGCUUCAAUUUUUGAAGUUAUUGGUCAAGCUACAAAGGGCUCACGGAGGAUACCUAGGCACACAGAGGCGAUGAAGG
rnacentral:tRNA from 1 species